rnacentral:rRNA from 1 species
AUGGCGACGGUGCAGGCGGUGGCCAAAGGGACCCUGGUCUCGCCGUGCGGCAACCGGGCCGCAGGAUUUGGUGCCCGGCGGCGCGGUGCCGUGGCGGCCCGCAUGUCGCCCUGCGCGCCGGCGGCGGUGCAGAUCGGCAGGAAGAGCCUGUUUCUUGGCGCCAGGCUCACGGUCGGUCCCAGGAGAACGAAGCUCGUUCCUCGGAAUCUAGUCGCCUCACCGAUGCAGAUGAAUCUUGCGUUUGCGAAAUCCACCAAGUGGUGGGAAAAGGGUCUGCAGCCCAACAUGAGGGAGAUUGAGUCCGCCCAGGACCUCGUCGACUCGCUGGCCAACGCCGGCGACAGGCUCGUCGUCGUUGACUUCUUCUCCCCUGGCUGCGGCGGCUGCCGUGCCCUCCACCCCAAGAUUUGCCAGUUUGCUGAACAGAACCCAGAUGUGCUCUUCUUGCAAGUGAACUACGAGGAACACAAGUCCAUGUGCUACAGCCUCCAUGUCCAUGUUCUGCCCUUCUUCAGGUUCUACAGGGGAGCCCAGGGCCGCCUCUGCAGCUUCAGCUGUACUAACGCAACCAUAAAGAAGUUCAGGGAUGCGCUUGCCAAGCACAAUCCGGAUAGGUGUAGCAUUGGCCCAACCAGGGGCCUCGAGGAGUCUGAGCUGCUGGCCUUGGCUGCGAACAAGGACCUGGAAUUCACCUACACGAAGCAGCCAGAACCAGUUCCGAGUGGAGACAGGGAGGUCAUUGCUCCUGGGAGCCCAAGGCUUCCUCCACCGGCAAAACCAUUGGUUCGGCAGGGGUCCGGAGAGAGGACCUUGGUCUCAUCAGGAAGAUGA